rnacentral:rRNA from 1 species
GAGAACGCUGGCGGCAGGCUUAACACAUGCAAGUCGAACGGGCACUUCGGUGCUAGUGGCAGACGGGUGAGUAACACGUGGGAACGUACCUUUCGGUUCGGAAUAAUCCAGGGAAACUUGGACUAAUACCGGAUACGCCCUUCGGGGGAAAGAUUUAUCGCCGAAAGAUCGGCCCGCGUCUGAUUAGCUAGUUGGUGAGGUAAAGGCUCACCAAGGCGACGAUCAGUAGCUGGUCUGAGAGGAUGAUCAGCCACACUGGGACUGAGACACGGCCCAGACUCCUACGGGAGGCAGCAGUGGGGAAUAUUGGACAAUGGGCGAAAGCCUGAUCCAGCCAUGCCGCGUGAGUGAUGAAGGCCUUAGGGUUGUAAAGCUCUUUUGUCCGGGAAGAUAAUGACUGUACCGGAAGAAUAAGCCCCGGCUAACUUCGUG